CCGCCCCUUUUACCGACGUAGCCAUGGAGACCGCGCGAGAGCAAGGCAGUUCGUAGAGUUCUCACAGCGAAUGUUUCCGCUCAACUAACAUAAAGAGCUUGCGAGCAGCGCAGCAGUACUGACGGAACUACACGACGAAAACACAGUAUUUUAAAACUAUUUUACCACAUCUCGGCUUUGAUGUCCCCCUUUAUACAACCGUUAAUGCCUCGAAUGUGAAUAAGAGAGAGGAGGGCUCGCUGCUCGAAACCUUUACGUUGGUUAAGCCAUAGAGGACUCUCACUGGUUGCCAGAGGAAAAGAUGUGUGAUGGAAUGGUAGCGUUUCACACGAGAACCCUGUCCUCCCCUUUUUCCACCUCCUCCUCCUCUCUAGCCCACAGGCUGGCUGCCUCCGCGCUUCUCCUCCUCUUCACCCUGCUCCCUCAUGGUCACGCAUCAGGUUGUGCGCGGCCACCUGGUGUGCAGCACGGAGACCUGCUGAA